UAAAAGAUAGGAACUUUCUUCUUUUCCUCUGCAGUAAAGAACUCUUCAAUUUAAUCUUUUUCACACAAUUUUCAUGGAAGAUCAAAAAAGGAGAAAUCAAAACACAAUCACAGAUCCAAAAAGAAUUAAAAAAAAUAAUUAUAAAUAUAUAAUCAGAUCUGUGGCGCAAUGGUAGUGCGUCUGAUUCUAGAUCAUAAGGUUGCAUGUUUGAUUCACAUAGGGUCCGAAAGCCUGAUCUAUAUUCGGUGAUGAUUUCUUUCUAACAGGUAAGAUCAUAUUCAAUAUUUCAAGAGUUUUCACACUUAAACUCGAGAUUAACAUGCAAAAAC
rnacentral:lncRNA from 1 species